CCUACGGGUGGCAGCAGUGGGGAAUAUUGCACAAUGGGCGCAAGCCUGAUGCAGCGACGCCGCGUGCGGGAUGGAGGCCUUCGGGUUGUAAACCGCUUUUGUUCAAGGGCAAGGCACGGUCUUUGGCCGUGUUGAGUGGAUUGUUCGAAUAAGCACCGGCUAACUACGUGCCAGCAGCCGCGGUAAUACGUAGGGUGCAAGCGUUAUCCGGAUUUAUUGGGCGUAAAGGGCUCGUAGGCGGUUCGUCGCGUCCGGUGUGAACGUCCAUCGCUUAACGGUGGAUCCGCGCCGGGUACGGGCGGGCUUGAGUGCGGUAGGGGAGACUGGAAGUCCCGGUGUAGCGGGGGAAUGUGUAGAUAUCGGGAAGAACACCAGUGGCGAAGGCGGCUUGCUGGGUCGAUACUGACAUUGAGGCACGAAAGCGUGGGGAGCAAACAGGAUUAGAUACCCCUGUAGUC
rnacentral:rRNA from 1 species